rnacentral:ncRNA from 2 species
CUAAAUGUAGGUGCUUCAGGUGUCGGGGGAGUCGCCUCCUCCGGUGAAGAGGGAAGCCGGUGAAACUCCGGCGCUGCCCCCGCAACUGUCAGUGGAGAGCACGGCCCAAGAUGCCACUGGGAUCAUCCCGGGAAGGUGGGCCGCUGCGGUGAUCCGCGAAGUCAGGAGACCUGCCUGAAGCAUGGAUUUGAC